GGAAGAGAGAGGUGUACCACAGAGGAAGAGAGAGGUAUACCACAGAGGAAGAGAGAGGUAUACCACAGAGGAAGAGAGAGGUGUACCACAGAGGAAGAGAGAGGUAUACCACAGAGGAAGAGAGAGGUAUACCACAGAGGAAGAGAGAGGUGUACCACAGAGGAAGAGAGAGGUAUACCACAGAGGAAGAGAGAGGUAUACCACAGAGGAAGAGAGAGGUAUACCACAGAGGAAGAGAGAGGUGUACCACAGAGGAAGAGAGAGGUAUACCACAGAGGAAGA